GAUGAACGCCGGCGGUGUGCCUAAUACAUGCAAGUCGUACGCACUGGCCCAACUGAUUGAUGGUGCUUGCACCUGAUUGACGAUGGAUCACCAGUGAGUGGCGGACGGGUGAGUAACACGUAGGUAACCUGCCCUGGAGCGGGGGAUAACAUUUGGAAACAGAUGCUAAUACCGCAUAACAACAAAAGCCGCAUGGCUUUUAUUUGAAAGAUGGCUUUGGCUAUCACUCUGGGAUGGACCUGCGGUGCAUUAGCUAGUUGGUAAGGUAACGGCUUACCAAGGCGAUGAUGCAUAGCCGAGUUGAGAGACUGAUCGGCCACAAUGGAACUGAGACACGGUCCAUACUCCUACGGGAGGCAGCAGUAGGGAAUCUUCCACAAUGGGCGCAAGCCUGAUGGAGCAACACCGCGUGAGUGACGAAAGGUUUCGGCUCGUAAAGCUCUGUUGUUGGAGAAGAACGUGCGUGAGAGUAACUGUUCACGCAGUGACGGUAUCCAACCAGAAAGUCACGGCUAACUAC
rnacentral:rRNA from 1 species